rnacentral:rRNA from 1 species
UACGGAGGGUGCGAGCGUUGUCCGGAAUCAUUGGGCGUAAAGGGCGCGUAGGUGGCCCCUCAAGCGUGCGGUGAAAGUCAGGGGCUCAACCUGGGAAUGGCAAUGGAUACUGGCAAGCUAGAGUGCGGUAGAGGGUAGUGGAAUUCCCGGUGUAGCGGUGAAAUGCGUAGAGAUCGGGAGGAACACCAGUGGCGAAGGCGACUAUCUACACCAUCACUGACGCUGAGGCACGAAAGCGUGGGGAGCAAACAGG